rnacentral:lncRNA from 1 species
UGGGGUAGGAUAAUAAUUUUAUUAAUGUGAAAUCUAAGUAUAUGAAUGUUAAUAAGAAGCAAAAAAUAAACAUUACAAGCAUGUAACAUUGACAAAAAGAGACCUUUAAUUCAAAAACAUAUAAAACUAUAAGAUUAGGACACAGUCUAUGCACAACAUGUAUGGUUGUUUCUAUCAUUACACAUCUCACCCUUAUAUAUAUCACACUGAUUCCUUUAACAAUAAUCUACAAUAUAUCUUCACAAGAAACAAUAAAAUGUACAUGUUUAUUAUUCAUUGAAUUUAAACAGGAACAACAUAGCAGAAAAAAUGUAUAAAACAUCAAGGUUUAUCUAAAACUUUAUGCAGCAAAAACAUAGAAAAAGCAAUAUCAAAUUUGUAUGACAUAAUCGUUCCUGUACAGUUGUAUUUGACAGUUUUUAGGCCAAACAAACUUACAUGUAACAGUUGAUGAUAUUUUGCUUUAGUCGGCCAUUUUUUGUUCCUUAUUGUUACUUUUUCGUUUAUGGACCCCUUCUAUGAACAUAAUCAAUCUAAAACGGAAAUGUUAAUACAUCAUAGUUUUCGUUACCCUGUUUAUUGUAGAAACCUCUGUUGUUUAUAGGGCGAGUGAUUUUAGACACGUUUUUACGGAAACUAUUAACUUUAUGCUUUAGUCAACAUGUAAACUAAAACACAUACAUCUACGCCGAAAGUUAUUUAAUGAAAAAGAAAUAACAAGAACACAAACUUCAAGGUAAAUUCAAAUGGGCACAUUUUGAUGUUUAUAAUUCUAUAAAAACAGAAAAAAUCAGACGUUAGCCAUUAUCAACCAACGGAAUGAAUGGAAAUCAACUGCCAUAUUUCAGAAUUUGUAUAGCAUCUUUAGACAAAAAUAGUGGACUAAACGGUCAACUGUUAUAUUUUUGAAUUUGUAUAGGCAUUUUCAGAGGAAAAUAGAGGACUUAACCUGGUUCUACAGC